CCACCCUGAACGCGCCCGAUCUCAUCUGAUCUCAGAAGCUAAGCAGGGUCGGGCCUGGUUAGUACUUGGAUGGGAGCCCUACUGAUAAUCUUGAU
ensembl:rRNA 5S_rRNA 5S ribosomal RNA